rnacentral:rRNA from 1 species
CAGUCGCCGCGGUAAUACGUAGGGUGCAAGCGUUAAUCGGAAUUACUGGGCGUAAAGCGUGCGCAGGCGGUUUUGUAAGACAGAGGUGAAAUCCCCGGGCUCAACCUGGGAACUGCCUUUGUGACUGCAAGGCUAGAGUACGGCAGAGGGGGAUGGAAUUCCGCGUGUAGCAGUGAAAUGCGUAGAUAUGCGGAGGAACACCGAUGGCGAAGGCAAUCCCCUGGGCCUGUACUGACGCUCAUGCACGAAAGCGUGGGGAGCAAACAGGAUUAGAUACCCGAGUAGUCCCUGUCUCUUAUAC